AAUCGAGUGGUCAGAUUCUCUAAAACCAUCAUAUCAACCGUUCUUUUCAAUGCAAUAAUUAAAAAUUCUCAAGCAUAACUCUACCCCAUAAGUUUAGCCAAAUGACCUUAACUACAAGUCACUCUUAACAUCCACAAAAUACAAAACUAUUUAACUUUUUUUUUGUUUAUAUCUCCACGAGAUAAUUUGUUAGCAUGAACUGACCUUCAAAAAUGGACCACUAGCA
rnacentral:lncRNA from 1 species